UACAGAGGGUGCGAGCGUUGUCCGGAAUCACUGGGCGUAAAGGGCGCGUAGGUGGCCCGACAAGUCGCUGGUGAAAGCUCGACGCUCAACGUCGAGUCGGCCAGUGAUACUGUUGGGCUGGAGCACUGUAGAGGCUCAUGGAGUUCCGGGUGUAGCGGUGGAAUGCGUAGAGAUCCGGGAAGAACACCGGUGGCGAAGGCGGUGAGCUGG
rnacentral:rRNA from 1 species